AAAGACACCAACCCGGAUAACUUGGAGCAAAACAGCAGCCUGUAGGCUUGGCCUUUAUUGAACUGUUGCAACAGGGUAUUCCCCUCACUUGCAGGAGAGAGGAAAGACACAGAAAAAUGGUGUGCAAGACCUUAUAAAAACUUUUGAAAUUCCCAUCCUGUAGUACAGGGGUCUGCAACCCGCGGCUCCGGAGCCGCAUGUGGCUCUUUUACACCUUUGCCGCGGCUCCGGGGCGGAUACUAGCGAGGGGAGGAGGCGCAUUGUGCACCCCGACACUCCCCACUGUGGCAGGCGCUGUACUGGCUGUGACGUCGCAUGGGGGCGGUGCGUGCGUUAGUCACGCACCGUCCUGAUGUCACCUUCCCACCCGCCCGCUACAUUGUAAGGGGCAUGUACGCUGGUCACUGCAUUGAAAGGGGACAUGUACGCUGGUCACUGUUUUGAAGGGGAGUGAAGAACACACACACAAAAAAGGUAACUUGUUAAUUUAACGUUUAUUUCUAUGAGGAGGAGUAAUUCUGAGGGGUCAAACAAAGAAAUAAUAAAAAGUGACAAAAAAGUUAUUUUUAUAAUGA